rnacentral:rRNA from 1 species
AACGAACGCUGGCGGCAGGCCUAACACAUGCAAGUCGAACGCUCCGCAAGGGGAGUGGCAGACGGGUGAGUAACACGUGGGAAUCUUCCUGUUGGUGCGGAAUAGCUCAGGGAAACUUGGGGUAAUACCGCAUAAGCCCGAGAGGGGAAAGAUUUAUCGCCGACAGAUGAGCCCGCGUCUGAUUAGCUAGUUGGUGAGGUAAUGGCUCACCAAGGCGACGAUCAGUAGCUGGUCUGAGAGGAUGACCAGCCACACUGGGACUGAGACACGGCCCAGACUCCUACGGGAGGCAGCAGUGGGGAAUAUUGGACAAUGGGCGCAAGCCUGAUCCAGCCAUGCCGCGUGAGUGACGAAGGUCUUCGGAUUGUAAAGCUCUUUUACCAGGGACGAUAAUGACGGUACCUGGAGAAUAAGCCCCGGCUAACUUCGUGCCAGCCGCCGCAGUAAG